rnacentral:rRNA from 1 species
UACGAAGGGGGGCUAGCGUUGUUCGGAAUUACUGGGCGUAAAGCGUGCGCAGGCGGCUUCUCAAGUCAGGGGUGAAAGCCCAGAGCUCAACUCUGGAACUGCCUUUGAUACUGAGGAUCUUGAGUUCGGGAGAGGUGAGUGGAACUGCGAGUGUAGAGGUGAAAUUCGUAGAUAUUCGCAAGAACACCAGUGGCGAAGGCGGCUCACUGGCCCGAUACUGACGCUGAGGCACGAAAGCGUGGGGAGCAAACAGG